ensembl:lncRNA
GUAAAUAGUUUUCAAAUCAGAAGCUCCCAAAUGCAAAAUUGUGCCCAUUUUAGUUUCUGUUUUCUCCAGCACGGUUGCUGUCAUCCCCUGGAGGGUUUGGAUCCUACUUUCUGAUUCCCCUUGACAAUUUUUUUUGCCCAGCACAGACACAGCUCCUAAGGAGGGGACGACCCAACCCUGUUGCUUCAUUUGGCACCGCGGAUCUAAUGAGGUGUAAAUCCCACAGAUGCCGCUCGGGGCAGCCGGCAUAGUAAUUUAUAUCAAUUGGUGUGAUUAGAGGAAGCCCUCAAUCAUCCCGCGGUGUCUCAUUGCAAUCUGUCAUAGUCCUAAUCAGACGCACUUCACCCUGGCUUUGUGCUGGGUUGAAUAUAUGCUUUCCUGGGCCCUGCUCAAGAGCCCAAAUAUUAGAGAAAGGAACUCGAGGAGGUAGAAUGUGACCCAUGAUCACCUCCCAGGAAUGAGGAUGCUUCCUCCCCUUCACCCAGGAGGGCACUGGCCAAGAGCUCACAAAUGUGAGCUCAAACCCAAACUCCUUGGUUGUGAGUCCUGGCACUGCCCCUGAUAGGCUGGUUUCCUUAGACAAGUGACUCCAUCUCUGGUGUCUCAGUCAUUCAUCUAUAAGAUGGGGUGAUAAUAAUGCUACAGUCCUCAUAUCAUUGUUGGAAGGAUUAAAUGAAUUAAUAUUUGCUUGGAAACAUACCUGGCACAAGUAAGUAAAUUCUCUUAUAUUUUUCUGUCCAUUCCAAAAGGGCUCUGAGAAGUCCUCCAAUGAAGAUACACAAAGACCAGUAAAAUGAAGAUACACAAAGACAAGUAAACUGAAGACUGAGGAAUUCAAGAACCACCUAAGGAAAGGGGAGGGAUUCACGUCUGGGACAGACAGGAGAAGAGCUCCUGGGAUUUGCAGAAGAAAGAGGCCUGGGGACAAGUAGAUGUCAUCACUGGGGCCUCAGGAAGACCUUAUCGGGCCUGUAGACUCUUCAUUUGGAGCCUUGGUCUUAGCAGUGUUGAUUUCUGGCCCUUGGCGGAUGGCUACUAUACCUGGGAGUUACUUGCCUCUGUAAGUAACUCCGAAGGCCACUUCGCCUUAGGAUGGCAGGUAAUUAAGUCUAGAGGAGUGAGAGAGCAGAUACGUUCUCAGUUCAUGGGUGAAUGAGAGCCAAGGUUAUUGUAGAAGAGGCUAGAUGAGCUCAGAGAGUCACAGAUGAAAGAGAAUUCCCUCCAAUAGAGGCAGAGGCACAUUCACUACCUGAAGUCUGACACUGAGAAACCAAACAGCCCUCAGAAGACCUAGAAAGUACAAAAGGACCAGGAUGUGAGCAGAAAGGAAGCGAGUGGAAGAGUAGGAGGCAGGGCUGUUACUAAAGGAACACGUGCCCGGGCAUUAACUGGAAGAUGCCCACAUGUGUCAUCACCACAUUAAACAGAGUCAACGUGUUUCUCAAGCACAAAUCUCCCACAAGUGCUUAAAAUAUCAUCAUUGCUAAACAGAGUAUGACCUCCUGGUCAUGUGAUCUUGAGCCAGCCACACUAUCAUUUUCUAAGAUCUAGCUGUGGAUCUACUGAGGCUUUGUAUUAUUAAGUUUGUGCUUCACCCUACCCCCAUUCUCCAUAGCUUACGAAUUAGUAGAAUUCCAAAAGGCCAGGGCUGGGAAAAAAAGGAGGUUUGAAAUUUUUUAGUGAGGCUGCUCUCUUUACCUCCCACCCGAGGAAACUGAGACCCAGGACUCGCCCUGCCUGGAAUCACACAGCUCAGCGCUGGCAGAGCCAGGUGGGCACUGCAUC